UACGAAGGGGGCUAGCGUUGUUCGGAAUUACUGGGCGUAAAGCGCACGUAGGCGGAUUUGUUAGUCAGGGGUGAAAUCCCGGGGCUCAACCUCGGAACUGCCUUUGAUACUGCAAGUCUCGAGUCCGGAAGAGGUGAGUGGAAUUCCUAGUGUAGAGGUGAAAUUCGUAGAUAUUAGGAAGAACACCAGUGGCGAAGGCGGCUCACUGGUCCGGUACUGACGCUGAGGUGCGAAAACGUGGGGAGCAAACAGG
rnacentral:rRNA from 1 species